CCUACGGGUGGCAGCAGUGGGGAAUAUUGGGCAAUGGGCGCAAGCCUGACCCAGCAACGCCGCGUGAAGGAAGAAGGCUUUCGGGUUGUAAACUUCUUUUCUCAGGGACGAAGCAAGUGACGGUACCUGAGGAAUAAGCCACGGCUAACUACGUGCCAGCAGCCGCGGUAAUACGUAGGGGGCAAGCGUUAUCCGGAUUUACUGGGUGCAAAGGGCGUGUAGGCGGGACUGCAAGUCAACUGUGAAAACCACGGGCGCAACCUGUGGCCUGCAUUUGAAACUGUUGUUAUUGAGUACUGGAGAGGCAGACGGAAUUCCAGGUGUAGGAGUGAAAUGCGUAGAUAUUAGGAGGAACACCAGUGGCGAAGGCGGUCUGCUGGAAAGCAACUGACGCUGAGGCGCGAAAGCGUGGGGAGCAAACAGGAUUAGAUACCCUUGUAGUC
rnacentral:rRNA from 1 species